rnacentral:rRNA from 1 species
UACGUAGGGCGCAAGCGUUGUCCGGAAUUAUUGGGCGUAAAGAGCUCGUAGGCGGUCUGUCGCGUCGGAUGUGAAAACCCAGGGCUCAACCCUGGGCCUGCAUUCGAUACGGGCAGACUAGAGUACGGCAGGGGAGACUGGAAUUCCUGGUGUAGCGGUGAAAUGCGUAGAUAUCGUCUGGAACGCCAAAGGUGAAAACAGCUCGCUGGGGUUGUGCUGACGCUGAGACACGAAAGCCAGGGGAGCGAACGGG